AGCUUGGUGCAGUGGCAAUAUCGUAGCCAAUGAGGUUUAUCCAAGGCACGACUAUUGCUAAUUGAAAACUAAAUACAGUGUUUCCAAUGAAAAUGUAGUAUCCAAAUUGGAAUGCAUGGUGUAAAAUAAACCAGAUUU
ensembl:snRNA U4 U4 spliceosomal RNA